rnacentral:rRNA from 1 species
UACGUAUGGAGCAAGCGUUAUCCGGAUUUACUGGGUGUAAAGGGAGCGCAGGCGGCUUUGCAAGUCUGAUGUGAAAGGCCGGGGCUCAACCCCGGGACUGCAUUGGAAACUGUAAAGCUAGAGUGCCGGAGAGGUAGGCGGAAUUCCUAGUGUAGCGGUGAAGUGCGUAGAUAUUAGGAGGAACACCAGUGGCGAAGGCGGCUUACUGGACGGCAACUGACGCUGAGGCUCGAAAGCGUGGGGAGCAAACAGG